UACGUAGGUGACAAGCGUUGUCCGGAUUUACUGGGCGUAAAGAGCGCGCAGGCGGUCGUUCAAGUCGAGUGUGAAAGCCCCCGGCUUAACUGGGGAGGGUCACUCGAUACUGAUCGACUCGAAGGCAGGAGAGGGAAGUGGAAUUCCCGGUGUAGCGGUGAAAUGCGCAGAUAUCAGGAGGAACACCGGUGGCGAAGGCGGAUCUCUGGGCCUUACCUGACGCUCAGGCGCGAAAGCUAGGGGAGCAAACAGG
rnacentral:rRNA from 1 species